rnacentral:lncRNA from 1 species
UGGUCAUGAGCAUUAGGAAGCUAGCAUAAAGCAUCUGUAUCCUUUUCCUAUGGUUUCCUAAAGAUUCACGAGGUUUCGGCCACUUCAAUGUAUUUUAUUCAAGUUUGAGUUUCCUCUUUUACCAAAGGACACUUAGAGCUACUCAAGGUUUACAACAAGGUUCCUUAGUUUUCUACCUUUAAUGGACCCUACUUAUCACUGGAGUGUUUCUACCCCUCUUAAUGAAGUUUUGUGAAUUAAUGAUGAAAAUAAGGUUUGGUUCCAACUUAAUUACGUCCCAGUUAUUUGUAUUCACUUACUUGUUUAUUCAAGUUGCUCUUAACUUAUCUUGUAUAAUGUAUUAACUUAUGAACCCUAGGUGAUUACAACUCCUACACACUGCUCAAACUCAUAUCUAACACUACCCAUCAUGUUCAUUUGUUUUAACAACAUUAAGGAGCCUUAUUAGGAAGGUGUUGAUCAACCUAUGGCCGUUUCUUUUACUAAGUAAUCAUUUUAUGACUAAGCA